rnacentral:lncRNA from 1 species
GUCGGGAAGAGAAGCAAAUGUGCAAUCUUCGUUGGUGAAGAUCUUUUUUGCUUGUGUAUAAUGCGAAUACACAAUAUCAUAAUGUUAUGUGUAGAACAGAAUUAGUGCUUGCAAGAUCUGAAUUAGUUAUGAUCAUUGCAUUUGCAGGUCAUGGUUAUUUGCACAGAAUGCAAAUACUUAAAAUUGUUUGGCAAAGUAAUUUUAUUAGUUAGGCAAAGUAUUGUUCAGUUUUAUUUUAGGGUAGGGCACUUUUAUCUGCAAAAUAGAAUUGUGAAGUUGCUAUUCUAGUGGAAAGCAAAUUUGUCCGUGUUAAAUUGAGCACAUGAUCAGAUUUCUUCAAUUGAGGGGACGGGAUGGGGGGCAUUGAUGAAUUGCCUUCCUUGUAGAAUGAUGUCGCUUGUGCUAUAAACCAAUGCACAAGAGAAUACCGAUACUCUGUGUGUGCACCAUGUUCCUACGUACCUGUGUUGUUCUUAUGUAGAUAGUAUCUAAUCUGAAAGCGUGUAUAGCUAGUUUUUGGUGCCGGAAGUGCUGCGCAGCAUGCCUUGCUCUGCUCCCUGUGGGUUCUGUCGGCC